CAGGAUUUCUUGUGAUUUACUACAUAAUAUUCCACACAUGUAUUUUAAUGGUUGCAUCUGAUCGUCGGUGUCAUUGUAUUAGGUGAUCAAUGACUUGCUUGACCCCACUGGCCAUAAUUUGCGUGUUAGAGAAGAUGCACAGGGCACUUAUGUUGAAGGUAUAAAGGAGGAAGUUGUUUUGUCUCCAGGUCAUGCACUGUCAUUUAUUGCUGCUGGGGAAGAGCAUCGUCAUGUUGGUUCAAAUAAUUUUAAUCUGUUUAGUAGCCGUAGUCACACGAUAUUUUCAUUAAUGAUAGAAAGUAGUGCCCAUGGAGAUGACUACAACGGAGUGAUAUUUUCUCAACUUGUAUGGUUCAUUUAGUUGUGCUAGAUUUGUCAACUUAAAAGUUCAAAGAUAGUUUAGGGUAUUUCCGACCACUUUUGGGUGGUCGGAAAUUUCACGAUUUCCAACAGUGAAUAGUAAUGUGAGAUGUAUGUAUUGCUUUUAUUGCUUUUGGUACAAAGUUUGGGAGAAGAUUAUGGCUUGUAUUAAUUAAUAUAGAUAAUUUUUAAUUAACUUGUAUUAUUAAUUAUUAUCAAUUG